CCUCAAGGAGUAAAGAAUCACUUUAAAAAAUGUCCUCUGCUGACUUAUAACUACUGCGUCUAAGGAUCACCUCAUUUCUCUCCAGUAUAUUCUACUUCUCUGUGACAUUUUUUUUCUCUGUCAGUCACACACACACACGGGCAUUCUCAUCGACACUAACAUUCAGACUAUCCCAACGUUGAAUCAUUCAUCCACGUAGUAAUCUUAACCUGAAGCAUCUUCCUUCCUACUCUUCUCUACCUGUCAUACUCCAUCUUUCAAGUCAGAUCAUCUCAUGACCCUAAGAAGUCUUACCCUGACCUGCUUUCAGUCAAAAUCAGUUAUAGAG
rnacentral:lncRNA from 1 species